rnacentral:rRNA from 1 species
CCUUUCCCGUGGGGGGACCUUGCGGAAGGAUCAUUAUUGAAUUUUAAGAAAGAGGAGUUGAGUUGUUGCUGCCCUUUUCUACCUUAAUUUGGCAGGAGGGGCAUGUGCACACCUUCUCUUUCAUCCAUCACACCCCCUGUGCACUUGUGAGACAGCAAUAAUUGGUGGAUUUAAUUCCAUCACCCAUUUGCUGUCUACUUAAUUUACACACACUCUACUUAAUUUAAACUGAAUGUAAUUGAUGUAACGCAUCUAAUACUAAGUUUCAACAACGGAUCUCUUGGCUCUCGCAUCCAUGAAAAACGCAACGAAAUGCGAUAAGUAAUGUGAAUUGCAAAAUUCAGUGAAUCAUCCAAUCUUUGAACGCACCUUGCGCUCCUUGGUAUUCCUUGGAACAUGCCUGUUUGAAUAUCAUGAAAUCUUCAAAGUAAACCUUUUGUUAAUUCAAUUGGUCUUUUUUACUUUGGUUUUGGAGGAUCUUAUUGCAACUUCACACCUGCUCCUCUUUGUGCAUUAACUGGAUCUCAAUGUUAUGCUUGGUUCCACUCGGCGUGAUAAGUUAUCUAUCGCUGAAGACACCCGUAAAAAAGGUGGCCAAGGUAAAUGCAGAUGAACCGCUUCUAAUAAUCCAUUGACUUGGACAAUAUUCUAUUUUAUGAUCUGAUCUCAAAUCAAGUAAGAUACCCAACCAACUUAAGCAUAUCAAUAACCGGAAGAAAAA